AUGAAGAAGAAUAGGAAUCGUGAUGGACAGACGCGGCUCAUAAAGGAGGGUUCUAAUGUUGAAGCGUAUCAGUGGAGCGUGAGUGACGGACGCUGGAUGAAGAUUGGAGAUGUAGUGGGCGGGUCUUCUCAGCAAAGUUCAAAGCGAGUGAUGUAUGAAGGCAAGGAGUACGAUUUUGUCUUCACCAUCGAUGUGAAUGAGGGCGGUUCACCCAUGAAGCUGCCUUAUAAUGUGACCGAUGACCCCUGGCUAGUAGCUCACAACUUUCUGGAGAGGAAUGACCUGAGCCCCAUGUUCUUGGAUCAGGUGGCUAAUUUCAUCAUCGAAAACACUAAAGGCCACACUCUUGGGCCAGCCCCCGCCUCGGUCGCAGACCCUUUCACAGGUGCAGGGCGGUAUAUCCCAGGUUCAGGAGAAGGCAGCCAAGGAUUUGGUGUUGAUCCUUUCACUGGAGCUGGUCGAUAUAUACCCGGGUCAGAAUCCACAGGCAGAGCGCCUUCAGGCGGAGCUGAUCCUUUUACUGGUGGCAGUGCCUAUUCCUCUUCCUCUCGCCAGAAAGCUACAACAAACAUCUUUUUCCCCAACACCGAUGGAGUUAUGUUUGAACAGGCGAAUAUCACUCAGAUUCUUGGUAAGCUCCGGGAGCUGAACAACAAUGCUCCUGCGGACCAUAAGCUGAGUGACGCAGCAUUGGAGUGUCUGGAGAAGUUGUUAAUGCUAGUUUCAGACCCGAAGAGUCAGGAACAGCCCACAGCAGAUCAGAUCAGUGUUCUCUGGAGGACUAGCCACUGGCCAGAAGACAUUGUCUUUCCUGUGUUGGACAUCCUGCGCUUGGCUGUGCGCCAUCCUGAAGUCAAUGCCCAACUUUGUGGCGGGACAGAGGGUGCCAGCCUUUGUAACCAUCUCCUGGGUCUCAUGACCCCCGAAGGCAGGCCUGCAAAUCAAAUGUUGGCGCUCCGCACUCUCUGCAACUGUUUCUCUGGGUCCCACGGCCGCGCUCUACUCUUGGGGCACCGCGACACAGUCCUGUCCCGGGCCGGAGACCUCCGUGCCGUCUGCAACAAGAACAUCCACGUGGCACUGGCUACUCUGCUGCUCAACUACGCCGGAAGGUUGUACGGUCAACCCGCUGAGAUCGAGGCCAAGGCGCAGUGCUUGUCAGUGGCUAGCACUGCCUUAGAGGUCGUACAGGACAAAGAGGCCGUCUUCAGGCUGCUGGUGGCCCUGGGGACCACAGUGGCCGGGGACAACACCGCAAAGGACCUUGCACGAUCUUUGGGUGUCAACUCUCAGAUUUCUAAAUACGCCAGGGUCUCGAGCCGGCUAAAGUUGGCGAGUGCUGCCGACUAGUGCUCGAUGAACUGCAGUGAUGUCUGGAAGGUGUCAAAGGAUGCAACUGUCUAUUACUACACCUCUAUGAUAAAACCAACAUCUUUCAGAUCUCUUAAACCUCAAUCUCUAUAUCAUUAGUUUGUAUUUAAAUUUUCACAUUUUGAUGCUGAAUGGAUAUGAAUGAAUGCAUGAUGUGAAUAAACACUGCUGAUUAAUCUAAAUCGUUCUUAAAACAAGACUCGUGUUAUUGAUGCAGAUCGGUGGUUCUCAAACUUUUUGACUCGAAGGCCCCCUCGUUGUCCAACACAAAUUUUUAGGCUAAAACCACAUCUACACCAGACUAGUUAACGAGAACCCAUUAUAAUCAGUGAUCCUGUCUACACUGGAUGUGGCGCCACGUUAUGACACCGCAAAGUAAACUGACGCCCUGUUCCAUUUCUGAUGAACUCCGUUCCAUGCAUUUGCACUACUGUCAACAACAGGACUGGGUUUACAACUUCCUCUUUUGACACGUAUAAUAAGGACCUGGUGUAGACAACCUGUAAGAUAUUUCUGGUGUUUCUGCUUUAAUUGACAAAGCUGCUUGUUUUCAAACUUUUUUUAUUAACAGAAACUGAUGUAUUAAAUGAAAGAACCACGAUUCAUGUUGUGAUUCCAGACGUUUCUAGAACUGUACAGUAUGUUCUUGAAUAAAGGCCAAUAACUAAAAUAGUUAUUGUUGGAAAAAAAAGGCAGUUUACUUUUAAAUUUUAUUUUAAAAGUUUAAAUUAUUUUAAUAUAUUGAUAAUCGUCCUGUAACUUAAUAUUAAUUAAUAAUAUUAAUAAUCAUCCACUUACUGAUAUCUAUCAUAUCAUUACUUGCAGUACUUAACAUGAAGUCAAAAUGAAAUUAACUGAAUUCAGAUUUUAUUUUCACAAUGUGGAAAGCCGAGUAAGUGGGCUUUUAUUUGGACUGUGAAAAGUGAUCUCUGUUUUUCAGGAAGUCAAGGCGUCAGCUAUUGACUUCCGAUUAUUGACUGACCGAUUAAUAAAAAGGGAUCGUAGUAUCGUGCAUUCUACCAGUUGCGGUUCUGGCAGCGGCUCUGUCCCAAUUACAACGCCACGUAUAUCACGUUUAGCAACACAGCGUGACAUUCCACUUCUUCAUCAUCACGUAUUAGCAUUGUUUUAAAGCCUUGCCUGUUAAACUUUUUAUUCACGCUGUUCCGAGAUACGCUUUUCUGAGAACGCACACACUAAAAUCCGUCAUGGACUAGGUUCUCUUUCGCGUCUUAUUGCGUUUAACUGUUGAAUACAAGGUAAACAUCAACAAAUUUUAUGUUUUUAUGUUUUACAAACAUCUUUUGAUCUUAAGUGAGUGUAAAAAGUUCGGAUGCGAGUCAGUAUAUAGAAUGUAUUUGGUCUUAAAGUGACAGCAGCCUAAUAAACCUGCUGUUAUCUGUGUCUUUUAUGUUCAGACAAUGAGAAAAUCACUCACUGCUCUCGACUGAAUGACUUUAGCAGCUUUAUUAAGAAUCAGUGUAUAUUUCAUUCAUACAGUGAAGUCUAUGUAGUGUUUUAUUUUUAUAUUUGUUUAUUCAAUUUCUUGAAUGAUACUGUCAAAUACACCAACGGUAGCUGUAAAAAAUUUUCAUUUGUAUCUUAUAUUUGUAUAGUCCUAUUAUUUGUAAUUUGCAUAUUUAUUCUUAUUUUUAAUAACAAAGAUAAAAUAAAGUGAAAUCAUAUUU